rnacentral:rRNA from 1 species
UACGAAGGGGGCUAGCGUUGCUCGGAAUCACUGGGCGUAAAGGGCGCGUAGGCGGUCACGCACGUCCGUUGUGAAAUCGCUCGGCUCAACUGGGCGGGGUCAGCGGAUACGGCGUGGCUGGAGCAAGCUAGGGGGCAAUGGAAUUCCCGAAGUAGAGGUGAAAUUCGUAGAUAUCGGGAGGAACACCGGUGGCGAAGGCGGCCAUCUGGACGGAUACUGACGCUGAGACGCGAAAGCGUGGGUAGCAAACGAGG